CAGUAGCCGCGGUAAUACGAAGGGUGCAAGCGUUACUCGGAAUUACUGGGCGUAAAGCGUGCGUAGGUGGUGGUUUAAGUCCGUUGUGAAAGCCCUGGGCUCAACCUGGGAAUUGCAGUGGAUACUGGGUCACUAGAGUGUGGUAGAGGAUAGUGGAAUUUCCGGUGUAGCAGUGAAAUGCGUAGAGAUCGGAAGGAACAUCUGUGGCGAAGGCGACUAUCUGGGCCAUUACUGACACUGAGGCACGAAAGCGUGGGGAGCAAACAGGAUUAGAGACCCGCGUAGUCCCUGUCUCUUAUAC
rnacentral:rRNA from 1 species